UCCCUCGUGGCCUAACGGAUAGGCAUCGGUUCCCUAAACUGGGAUCGGGUUCGAAUCCUCGCGAGGGUA